GGUUGAUCCUGCCAGUAGUCAUACGCUUGUCUCAAAGAUUAAGCCAUGCAUGUCUAAGUAUAAAGGUUACAUACAAUGAAACUGCGAAUGGCUCAUUCAAACAGUUAUAGUUUAUUUGAUAUUCAAACUUAUAUUUCAUAUUAGUUUAAAUGGAUAACCGUAGUAAUUCUAGAGCUAAUACAUGCGUUACGAGGGACUUUACGGAACCUCAGUAUUUAUUAGAUUUCCAAACCAAUAUUCCGCAAGGUCUACUGAGAUGAUUCAUGAUAACUGAUCGAAUUGCUGGGUCUA
rnacentral:rRNA from 1 species